CCGCAUAGCGGUGAGGCCAGCGUCCCUCCUUUGCCCUUGUCCCUAUCUCCAGCUGGCUGUGGGGACAUUGGUUGAGAACCUAACUUGCCCAGGACCAUGCUCGGCACGCAAGAGGAGAAGACAGGCCCAGGGGGACGGCCACGCGAAGACAGAGGUUGGAGCAGUGUGUCCACAAGCCGAGGGUCACCAGCCACCACCAGUCAAGGAGGGAUGCUCCCUCAGAACCUCCAGAAGGAAGCUCACUGCUGCCACAGGAUCCCAGACUUCUGGCCUCCGAACUUGGAGAGAAUAAACGUCAGUUUCGGUUACA